UUUUUUUUUAUUGUCAUUAGUCAUUCCUUUAACAGGUUAGAAAACAAAAAAAACCAAAAAAACAAACCAACAUUUCAGUAACAUUUCAUCAUAGUUUAUACAGAACCGGUUGAUGCAUGGUGUCAUCUCCUCAUCCAAAUCCACAGCCACUUUCCAUAUCGCAGAGUUUAGGAAUUACAGUGCACACUGGACUAUAUUCUUUCACAAUGUAAGGCACAACUACAUGAUCACAAGUAGUAAACACAAACACCGAAAGUAGAACUUAAGAGAAUCGAACUUCAAAUAAAAAGAAACAAAACCAAUACACACUCAUGCAAAAAAUCUACCUACACCUACCAAGAUGGUAUGAUGCAGUUUAAAAGAAGUGCAGUACUCUGUAGGUAAAACUGCAACAUAAGGCUAUCAUAAUACAUUACCUCUAAAUACCGGGUAAGAACUUAAAACUUUUCCCAUUUAUAUUUUAUGCAAUCAUACAGAAAUCAAGCUGUAUGAGCAAUAUUCACAUCUGCAAUAAUAAACUGAUCAUUAAAAUUGAGAAAAGAGGCAAACAAGACAAUGUAAUUUGUGGCACGCAUCCAUUACAGUACUGAAGAAAAAACAAGUCUAAAGUAAUGGUACAUUUGGUGAACAACAAAGCUGCAUACAAAAUUGUUUACACCCAGCAGACCAUAACUAUGACAGCUUGUGGUUAUGAUUUAUUUCCUGUCCAGCAGCUGAAGUUUGCAAGAUUGGAACUACCGAAGUUAAAAGAAUACAACAGAGUUUACAGUAACUUGAAACUAUGGGAUACUUUCAAACACAUUAAAUGAAGAGACUUAACUUCUUUCCUUUUUGGUGAUAAACUUUUGCAAUUUUGGCAUCCACUAUAACUUGUACAUAACAUGACAGUGAGCAAACCUUAUUAAACUUACCUAAUGUUUGAAUUUCACACUGAGAGGUAGUUUAAAUGAAAUCUUAUGUAACGACAUCAAAUGGUGGGGGUUUAUGAUUUUUUUUUUUCUGUGUGUGACUUUUUCUCUUUUCUUACAAAAGUGACAAAUCCUAUACAAGCAGCAUUUUGGACAUAUUACUAUAAAAAGUUCUGGUAUUUGCUAACCCAGUGAGAUGUUCUUUCAAACAUCCCUUUGGUGCCAGGAAUCAAGCUAUCCUGUGAUACAACGGAGUACUUUGCCAUAAAGUCAACAGCAGGAGCCUGGACCUGCCGCUAGCACUGGCCUGCUGACAUAUGACAACGUACGCUCUUUCCCAGUUCUCUUUACCCAAGCAAGGCAGGAAAUACAGAUGAAUUUGGUUUUAGUUUAGGUCAUACGGGGAGUAAAAAUUGGAGAACACGCCUACCAGGCUUCUGCUUUCAUAGUAAUGUUGAGCCAAAAGGGUUAGCAGAGCUUCAGUAACCGCUGUGAGUGCAUAGUGUAUGGUGAGCUACAGAAAAAAAGCAGAGUUUAUUACAUGAACUAGUACCUAUCCUCUUCAUUAUUGUGAUCUUAAGUGGCAUCUAAUGUUCUCUCUAAAGAUGCAAACCUCUUUAUUCAGUGACCCUUAGAAAAAAAAAAUAUCCCAAAACUGAGUUUCUGUGGCAAGACUUCACUAUCCAAUUAUUGCUGGUUUUGAAAAGUACACCAUAUAGUGCUUUUGGAGAGGCUGUGGUGGGACAACAAUUCUAAACUUAUCCUAGAAGGGAUGCCAAGGUCAAGACUUCAAAAAUUAAGAACUGGACAACUGGCAAGACCCUUGAAAAUAAACAAGAUUCACAUUUUCUCAUUUAAUAAUCUUAAAAUGAAGCUCUACAAAGACAAUGUGCGCGUGAUUACAUGGGUUUUGUUGUUACAUGUGCUCUCAGAUGAUGAUCAUGAUUUUGGUACAAAGGAAUUACAAGUGCAAUUCUCCUUACAUAGCAAGGGGCCAAAUGUAAUACAGUGAGAAGUCCAGCUGAAGACAAACUUUCUGUCCAUUCAUUACAGCUAACACAUGCGAUGUAAAAUAUACCAUUCCACUUACUGUAGAUUAUAUUCAGUUAGACAGCAAAAAGUGCAUAGUGCAAGUGACAGUGUUGUUUCCUAGUCUUCCAAGAAUAUGAGAGUGGGAGGGGUGGUACUUGGAGGAGUAAUUUAUCAGUUUCAACAUACUCAAACCAUUAUAUCAUUCUUCUCGGCAUAGUUUAUUUUCUAUUUGAACUUAAGCUCCAGCAGUUUUCUAUCUGCCACUAAAUACUGGCCAUAAUAAUUUACAAAGUUUUGCAACAAGCAUUUGUUUCCAUUUGAUGUUUAACUGACAUUCAACAAUCCAAAAAAGUACUUGAGUUUUCCAGGUCCCUUCUUUAGGAAUGUCACUUCUCUUACAUCUAGCAUGAAAGAGUC
rnacentral:lncRNA from 1 species